rnacentral:rRNA from 1 species
UCCGUAGGGGGCAAGCGUUGUUCGGAAUUACUGGGCGUAAAGGGCGCGUAGGCGGCACAGCAAGUCGGGAGUGAAAGCCCGGGGCUCAACCCCGGAAUGGCUUUCGAAACUGCUGAGCUAGAGUACAGAAGGGGCAACCGGAAUUCCCAGUGUAGCGGUGAAAUGCGUAGAUAUUGGGAAGAACACCUGAGGCGAAGGCGGGUUGCUGGGCUGAUACUGACGCUGAGGCGCGAAAGCCAGGGGAGCAAACGGG